UACGGGGGGGGGCAAGCGUUGUUCGGAAUUACUGGGCGUAAAGGGCUCGUAGGUGGCCAACUAAGUCAGACGUGAAAUCCCUCAGCUUAACUGGGGAACUGCGUCUGAUACUGGAUGGCUUGAGUUUGGGAGAGGGAUGCGGAAUUCCCGGUGUAGCGGUGAAAUGCGUAGAUAUCUGGAGGAACACCGGUGGCGAAGGCGGCAUCCUGGACCGGUAUUGACGCUGAUGCGCGAAAGCCAGGGGAGCAAACGGG
rnacentral:rRNA from 1 species